UACGUAGGGGGCUAGCGUUAUCCGGAAUUACUGGGCGUAAAGGGUGCGUAGGCGGUCUUUCAAGCCAGAAGUGAAAGGCUACGGCUCAACCGUAGUAAGCCUUUGAAACUGGGAAACUUGAGUGCAGGAGAGGAGAGUAGAAUUCCUAGUGUAGCGGUGAAAUGCGUAGAUAUUAGGAGGAACACCAGUUGCGAAGGCGGCUCUCUGGACUGUAACUGACACUGAGGCACGAAAGCGUGGGGAGCAAACAGGAUUAGAUACCCGCGUAGUCCCUGAG
rnacentral:rRNA from 1 species